CGGUUGCAUCGCGCGUCAUCCACCCACACACAAAAGUUUUUGGAGGACAACCUCCAAAAACACAGGUGUAAACAAUGUAAAAGUACACGAAGAACUCGACACCAUUUGGCACAGUAGAACUAUGAUCCAGGAUACAGAGUGCUCUAGUAUUGUAACUGUAAGUUUACCUUAGCUUACAGAGAAGGCUGAGGUUUUCCUUUGCUUGGUUCUUGACAGUGUACUAGCUGAACAAGCUGAGCUCUGUGUGAAGAUGGUUACCAUAAUUAUGUUCAAGUCAAGAGGAUGUAGGAGUGCCCGAUCAUGCCAGGCAUCGAUCAUUGCUGGCUGGGAGGAUUGUGUGGGACACAAUCACCACAAUAUUAAAUUAAUAGAAUGAUGGAGACAAGAGUCAAGAUAAAAUUGACAUUGAUGUAUUAUUAUCAUGUGUCAGUACAUGUAUUAGUUAUGUGCUCAGUGUACAUACCUUUACCGACAUCGUCUCUGGUCUCUGAAACAUUAAAUUAUGGGUUGAGCAAUUAAUGAAUGUUGGUUGACUCAAGAUUGACAAAAAAAAGAGUAAAUAACAACAAAAAACACUGCAUCUCUUAUUAAUUAUUGAGCUUAGAAGAUGACAGAAGCAA